rnacentral:rRNA from 1 species
GAUGAACGCUGGCGGCGUGCUUAACACAUGCAAGUCGAACGGAGUUUAUAGUAUGAAGUUUUCGGAUGAAUUACUAUAAACUUAGUGGCGGACGGGUGAGUAACGCGUGGGUAACCUGCCUCAUACAGGGGGAUAACAGUCGGAAACGGCUGCUAACACCGCAUAUUAUGUAGAUGUCGCAUGAUGACUACAUGAAAAAUUUAUUGGUAUGAGAUGGGCCCGCGUCUGAUUAGCUAGUUGGUAAGGUAAUGGCUUACCAAGGCGACGAUCAGUAGCCGGCUUGAAGAGAGUGACCGGCCACAUUGGGGACUGAGACACGGCCCAAACUCCUACGGGAGGCUG